GAAAUGCGAUACGUAAUGCGAAUUGCAGAAUUCAGUGAAUCAUCAAAUCUUUGAACGCAAAUGGCGCUCUCGGGAUAGGCCUGAGAGCACGCCUCUUUGAGUAUCGAUUCUACCCCAUCCAGUGAACUUGUUUUUGCUGGGACAGUGAGUCGUCACGAGCAAUUGUGCGACUUGAAGAGCAAUGGGUGCGAGAUGACGAUUAGUUUGACACUCCGUGUCUAGAUACCGUCAUAACACAAACGUUAAGCUGGGUAAUUGGAUUCGUCCAACCAACUCGUGCGAAACGUUUGUUCGACGGUUUUCGAACCACUGAUCAAGUUCAGUCACCCUGAAUACAACUUUACACACCAAUCUUGAAUUAGAUCUCAAAUGAAGCGAGAAUACCCGCCGAACUUAA
rnacentral:misc_RNA from 1 species